rnacentral:tmRNA from 1 species
GGGGGCGACCUGGUUUCGACAUCGGUUGCGAAACCCGAAGUGCAUGCCGAGGAGCAGAUUCCCUCGUAAAUCCAGCUGCAAACUUGAUAGUUGCCAACGAAGACAACUACGCACUGGCGGCUUAAGCCCGCUAGCCUCUGACCGGAGCCGUGCUCAUGCGUCCGGCGUCCUUCGGGACACUCAGGGGUCAUCCUUCAUGAGAUCGCGCUGAAGCACGUCUGGGGUGGAUGCGCUAAACUUUUACCAGACUCGUGGUCAGCAGCCCUGCCCGUCGGGAUCGCUGCCCAUUAAAUGUAAAAAGACGCGGCUAAGCAUGUAGAGCUGACGGCGGAGAACUGAUGGACGCGGGUUCGAUUCCCGCCGCCUCCACCA